CGGGGCUGGCUCCGGGAGGUGCGAGGCAGGAUGGAGCUGUGAGCGGAGUUUGGUGGCUGCCGGCAGCGCCAUGGAGACGGUGCAGCUGAGGAACCCGCCGCGCCGGCAGCUGAAAAAAUUGGAUGAAGAUAGUUUAACCAAACAACCAGAAGAAGUGUUUGAUGUUUUAGAGAAACUUGGAGAAGGGUCCUAUGGCAGUGUAUACAAAGCUAUUCAUAAGGAAACGGGUCAGAUUGUUGCUAUUAAGCAAGUUCCAGUGGAAUCAGACCUGCAGGAGAUAAUCAAAGAAAUCUCUAUCAUGCAACAAUGUGACAGCCCUCAUGUGGUCAAAUAUUAUGGCAGUUACUUUAAGAAUACAGAUUUGUGGAUCGUUAUGGAGUACUGUGGAGCUGGUUCUGUAUCUGACAUCAUUCGAUUACGAAAUAAGACGUUAACAGAAGAUGAAAUUUCUACAAUAUUACAAUCAACUCUUAAGGGUCUGGAAUACCUUCAUUUUAUGAGAAAAAUACACCGAGAUAUCAAAGCAGGAAAUAUUUUGCUAAACACAGAAGGACAUGCAAAACUUGCAGAUUUUGGAGUUGCAGGCCAACUUACAGAUACAAUGGCCAAGCGGAAUACAGUGAUAGGAACACCAUUUUGGAUGGCCCCUGAAGUGAUUCAGGAAAUCGGGUACAACUGUGUGGCAGACAUCUGGUCUCUGGGAAUAACUGCCAUAGAGAUGGCUGAAGGAAAGCCCCCGUAUGCCGAUAUACAUCCAAUGAGGGCAAUCUUCAUGAUUCCUACAAACCCUCCUCCCACAUUCCGCAAGCCAGAACUGUGGUCAGAUAACUUCAUGGAUUUUGUGAAGCAGUGUCUUGUAAAAAGCCCUGAGCAGAGAGCCACAGCCACUCAGCUCCUACAGCAUCCCUUUGUAAAGAGUGCCAAAGGAGUGUCAAUAUUACGAGAUUUAAUUAAUGAAGCCAUGGAUGUGAAACUGAAACGCCAGGAAGCCCAGCAGCGGGAAGUGGACCAGGACGAUGAAGAAAAUUCAGAGGAAGAUGAAGUGGAUUCUGGCACGAUGGUCCGAGCAGCAGGUGAUGAGAUAGGCACUGUCCGAGUAGCCAGCACCAUGAGCGAUGGAGCCAAUACCAUGAUUGAGCACGGGGACACGUUGCCAUCACAGCUGGGUACCAUGGUGAUCAACGCAGAGGAUGAGGAAGAGGAAGGGACUAUGAAAAGAAGGGAUGAGACCAUGCAGCCUGCGAAACCAUCUUUCCUUGAAUACUUUGAGCAAAAGGAAAAGGAAAAUCAGAUCAACAGCUUUGGCAAGAGUAUACCUGGCCAGCUGAAAAAUUCUUCAGAGUGGAAAAUACCACAGGAUGGAGACUAUGAGUUUCUUAAGACUUGGACAGUGGAAGACCUUCAGAAGAGGCUCUUGGCCCUUGACCCCAUGAUGGAACAGGAGAUUGAAGAGAUCCGGCAGAAGUACCAGUCUAAGCGGCAGCCAAUCCUGGAUGCCAUUGAAGCUAAGAAGAGGCGGCAACAAAACUUCUGAGCGAGGCUGGGCCUCUGGCAGCUCUAGAUCGCGCGUCUCACUUUGUUAGCCAGCACCUGCUCUGUCAUUUCUCCACAGCACCUUUGUGAACUCAGGAACAUGCACCACUGGGAGGGGCUACUUGGCGGUCAUUGUGUUAUCUUGAUGAGUGCAUUUCCAUUGGCCAGAUUUACUAUUUCAAAAGAUUCGUAUGGGCGCUUCUAACUCAGAGUUUUAAAUCCCAGGAACAGAGACUCCUAAGUUGAGUGAUUGCUGGGAAAGUUUUACAUUAUCUUUUUGAUUUUCUUUUCCCAAUAGCUUUCGGUUGUUCUUUCUGGAAGACUUUUUUAAAAAUAUAUAAAUAUGCAUAUAUAUUAUAAAUUAUAAAUAGAUUCCCCAUGCCAUGUGGUGGCAUCUCUGUACAGGUACAGUUUUGAACAUUUUUGCCUCUCUCUGUAAGUUUAUGGUACUGUGGAACAAGGGGGCAGAGGACGUAGGGAGGCUCAUAGGAGCCACUGCAUUGCAGGAGCAAACCUCACCUUUGUAGGACGGCAUUUAAAAAUCAGGACCCGGACAGUCUGCUCACGUUUUCAGCUAUGUGUGGCCCUCGCUGACUUCUGGCGCUGUCAGCUGAAGCACGGGGAAAGCCUUGAGAAUUUGCGUUUGCUCUUGGAGUCCCAGGGGAAGCCUGGCACCCUCUUUGCAAAUUGGCCUUUGUUGUUUCAACGUCUUCAUCCUUCUCCACUCUUCUCACUGCCUCAAGUCACAUCCCAGAUACUGCCCAGUGCCUUAAGAGGAGACCGUGAGCCAGCAAAGGGAUAGGCCUGCCAGGAGCUCUCAGCAAACACAGGGCUGCGCUCCGUUCACAGGAGGGGAAGGGUUUUUGAAGCUCUCAUUGUUCCUGUGUAAAAUCACGCAUGUGUCAGUUCACUCCGCAUUCCUUACAGACAGGGUAGAGGGCAUUGCUUCUGUGUAUGUGACCAUUUUCUUCUUCAUUUCCUGUUGGGGUUUUUUUCGGGGGAGGGGAGAGGUCUGGAAAGGAUAAAUGAAUACCAGACUAAGAUUUGUUCUCCAGGAGCUCCGUUGCUUGAAGGGACCAUGGAGACCAUCCGGUCUGACCCUGUGUUGUGUAGAUGGGAAAGCUGAGGCUUUGAGAAGGGAAGUGACCUGGGGAACAGCACAAAUCAAGUUAGAAGAACAACAGAUUGGAACUCAGGGCUCUUCUCCUUGAACUGAGCAGCCCUUUCAUGAGAGGUGGGAUCUGUGUCUGUUUUGGUCAUGUUGUCCCAGGGAACCCUGCUUAUGGAGACUUACCUCUGGCCUUGCCUCUUUAGUAGCUCACCUGGCUGUGGAGACAUUUCCCUGAGGGAGCUGCACCAUUCAGUCCCAGUGAGUCCAUGAGCUCUGCACUGUCUGUAGACACACACAAACACCCAUGGAGGCACGUUUAGGCUUGAAGGGAAUGAGAGGCUUUGCAAAAGAGCUGUCUUCCUGCAGCUUUGACUCAAAACCUCCUUUAGUCACACAGCAGAAAGAAGACAAUUGAGAAGGACAAAGGUCUUUUUAUUUUCUUCUAAUGUCUUUUCCCUCAGAUGGGAAGCCAUGAUUAAGUAGCACCAGAGGAUACUGUAACCUGACUCCGUAAUUGCUCUCACUCCCUAAACCUUGGGAUCUGAUCGAUGUGAAGGCAGGAGAUGUUCCUCUGUGUGACAAGAUUCUGAUCUUCACAAUUACAGCAAGGUUUUAACAAUGCAAGAUACAAUUGGGCUUUGAUGCUUGGCCUAAAGAAAAUUGAGGACAAUCUGAAGAUCUUAUAAGAGCAGCAGCUGGCAUUUGCUGACCAUAUUCAGGCACUAGGCUAGCAUUCCAUGUUGCCUCCAAAGACUGCAGCUCUUUAUUUCGAGGAAAUUGUUCCUGCCCACCCUUAAGCACCACCUUGAUGGUAUCAUGACUGUAUUCAUUGUCUUUGGAAUCCACAUUUUUAUGUUUGAAAAAAAAAAUAUCCACCAGCUUGCACUCGGACCAACUUGGAAAAUAAAAACUUAAAUGCUGUUGCUGAUGUACAACUUAAAAAUGUGAAGUUUGUAGCUUUAAUUUUUUUUUUGUAAUGAAAACUAAACACACUGGCUUAAGUGCUGACCUGAAAAGCUAUUUUGUAAGGCUUGGAUGUAAAUAAUUGGUUGAGGUCGGCAAUUUGUAUAUGGGUGA